GGAGUUUGAUCCUGGCUCAGGACGAACGCUGGCGGCGUGCCUAACACAUGCAAGUCGAGCGAGGAGAUUCCCUUCGGGGAUGAACCUAGCGGCGGACGGGUGAGUAAUACGUGGGCAACCUGCCUUAUAGAGGGGAAUAGCCUUCCGAAAGGAAGAUUAAUACCGCAUAACAUUACAUUUUCGCAUGAAGAAGUAAUUAAAGGAGUAAUCCGCUAUAAGAUGGGCCCGCGGCGCAUUAGCUAGUUGGUGAGGUAACGGCUCACCAAGGCGACGAUGCGUAGCCGACCUGAGAGGGUGAUCGGCCACAUUGGGACUGAGACACGGCCCAGACUCCUACGGGAGGCAGCAGUGGGGAAUAUUGCACAAUGGGGGAAACCCUGAUGCAGCAACGCCGCGUGAGUGAUGAAGGUCUUCGGAUCGUAAAGCUCUGUCUUCAGGGACGAUAAUGACGGUACCUGAGGAGGAAGCCACGGCUAACUACGUGCCAGCAGCCGCGGUAAUAC
rnacentral:rRNA from 1 species